AUCACCAGAGAGGUGAGACUUCAGGAAGGCUUUUCACUAGUGAGGUGUAGAAGGAAAGAGGAGAGACGAAGAAAGGGAAGGCAAAAUAUCCAACUAGUUUUGGAGAAAUCCUGCUAAGCUGAGAACAAGGAGGUCUGAUGUAGAAUCUGAGACACUGGGAGACAAGACCCACUGACAGGAAUUCCCCUCCUAUAGAUGGUCACACAUGGCUCAGCAGCUGUGUGACAAUUGAGCUGCACAAGUUGAAAAAACCAGUUAAUUUGGCUUGACUCCUGGAGCUGUUGAAGAACAGAAUAUAAUCUUUACCGCUGAUUCAAGAUUAAGACUGAAUGAAAAAGAAAAAAUGAUUAGCCAAAUUUAGCCUUGUAGGAAUCUCCCAACUGAAAAUACAGACAGCACAGCAUGGCAGAGUAGUUAACACAUUUGAACUCUACUCAACCACAACUGUUUCAGAACAUGUUACAAGGCCAGUGUUAUCAGAGAGCUUCCUUCAGCGUCCAGCUCAUGUUGAAAAUGAUUUCUUUUUUUGGCAGUAGGAGCAGCAGAAAAAGGUGGGAGGAGAUGAGUAAUUUUUUUACAAUACUUUCUAAUUUUCUAUAAAAUACUCCCCCCUCACAUUUGAAUAAAAGUGCUUUUUCUUAAUUUAUUUUUACAUUACACACUGUCUGACCAGUAGGAGUGCAAAAUACCUAAGAACAAUUCUGACGGCCUUGGUAAUGUUAUGUAUCUGUCAUAUUUC